AACGAACGCUGGCGGCAUGCCUAACACAUGCAAGUCGAACGAAGGCUUCGGCCUUAGUGGCGCACGGGUGCGUAACGCGUGGGAAUCUGCCCUUUGGUUCGGAAUAACAGCUGGAAACGGCUGCUAAUACCGGAUGAUGACGAAAGUCCAAAGAUUUAUCGCCAGAGGAUGAGCCCGCGUUGGAUUAGGUAGUUGGUGGGGUAAAGGCCUACCAAGCCGACGAUCCAUAGCUGGUCUGAGAGAAUGAUCAGCCACACUGGGACUGAGACACGGCCCAGACUCCUACGGGAGGCAGCAGUGGGUAAUAUUGGACAAUGGGCGCAAGCCUGAUCCAGCAAUGCCGCGUGAGUGAUGAAGGCACUAGGGUUGUAAAGCGCUUUUAACCGUGAAGAUAAUGACUGUACCGGGAGAAAAAGCCCCGGCUAACUCCGUG
rnacentral:rRNA from 1 species